UGCAGAAGAAGCUUUUAAAAAAGUUUCAAAAGCAUUCCAACACUUAAUAGAUAAAGAUAAAAGAUAUGAAUAUGAUAACUAUUCUGAUUUAAAUACGCAUAAUAAUAUUAGUAAUAAUGCUUCUCGUGCUUUUAGAACUACUCAUUAUUAUUAUAAUGAUGAUGCAUUCACUGCAGAAGAUAUUUUUCGUAAUUUUUUUGGUAUCAAUUUUGCUACAUGUAAUAAUAGGGCAUAUAGAACUCAUGUUAAUACUAAUAGGACUCAUACAAAUAAUAGCACAAGUGCUAAUACGAGUAAUAAUAAUCAGCGCAACUAUUCAUUGAUACAAUUGUUUUUGUUUUUAAUUAUGUUUAUAGUAUUCUUUUUAUCAAGUCAUUUUGAGCAACCCAAGGUAAAAAUAAAAUAAGCAAUACAAUACAAUACAAUACAGCAUAAAAACAUAUAUACAUUAACAUGUGUAGUUAUGCAAGUUCAAAAGUAUGUGAUCCUAAUUGUGUAUAGCUUAAGCAUUUUUUUUUUUUUUUUUUUUUUUUAUUUAUAUAAAAUAUAUGCUUCAAAAAAAAUAAAAAAAUAAUAUAAGAUGUAACAUAUCCAUCAAACUGACCCAACAAAUUAGGAAUAUGACUUAUUGUUUUAUUUAUUAUUUUUUUUUAUAUACAUAUUUUUUUCUUUUUUCUUUUUUAAUAGGCCAUAUACUCUUUGCAGAAAACAAAUUAUUAUGAUACAUUAAAUUAUACCUCAUUAAACAAAAUAAGAUUUUACACAAAGAGAUCUUUUAAUUAUAAUUAUCCCAAAAACACUCAAAUGCGUUAUCAAAUUGAGUACGAAGUAGAAUACAAAUACUAUGAACAUGAGUGUCAUGUUCUAACCAAGAAAUUAAAAAAUGACUAUUACAAAGAAAAACGUGAAUAUCGUAAGUUACUUUUCUUUUUUUUUUUUUUUUUUUUUAAAUAUAUACAUUUUAGACAUAUAACAUAUGUCCACAUAUACACUUUAUACGUCCUUCUGUUAUUUUGUGCCUCUAUUUUUAACUAAUGCGUUUUGUUAGUGUAUAUAUAUGAAUUUAUAAACAAUUUUUUUUUUUUUUUUUUUUAGAACAAAAAUUAAAUUAUCAAGAAAUUCCAGAAAGCUGCAUAAAACUGAAAAAUUUAGAGGUAAAUUUUUGCAUCUCAAAAUGUUGACCAGUUAAUUUAUUUUAUUUCAUCAUAUUCAUAAAGUGCAGUAUAUUUAUUAAAUUCUUAUGAGUUUUUGCAUAAUACUUAUAUAUAUAUCGAUAUGUGUAAUUUUUUUAAUAUACUUCCAGUUUAUACCUAUCAAUAUAAACACCUAUUUUUACACUUUUUAGGAUCAAUACAACGACUACAUUAUGAAAAUGAAAAGAAGAUAACAAAAAAAAAAAAAAAAAAAUGCAUUCAUUUGAUAAAUUAAUUUUUAAAAAUUAAAAUAAACUGUUUGAAAAAAAAUGUACA
rnacentral:lncRNA from 1 species